CAACGCGCCACCUGGGUGGUCACCGCCGGGACGCCACGGAGCCACGUUGCACGGGAAUGAAGAACCAGAGGGAUUCGUCCUUGGUCCCCUGUGACACUGCUGGAGCGCAAGAUGUCCCUGCGGUGACAGCGAGAGACGUUCGAGGCGCGUCUUGGAGGAGACAUUGAGAGAAUUUCAACUCGUCACAGGAAGUCGUGUCAAAGCUCGCUUCUUUCACUAAACGGCCACGUCUUCCGUAGACGAAUGCAAUAAAAAGUCGGAUGGAAUCAGGGUGCAGAAUGAGUAAUGUCUUUUUUGACGACUACCAGCGUCAUGGAGGGACACUUUUUUGCAGGCGUGGCAUGCUACCAGAAUUUUGUAAUCUUGUCCUCAAGCAAAUUUGAGGGGAAUUUAACUCAAACAACUUCUAUUCUUAAAGAAUAUUUCGAUUCAGAGCAAGAUGGUUGUUUGUUUCACCUUUAUUCCAAACAGCUGAUUCUGACUCUGCGCUUUAAACGGAAUUAUCCCACCAAAAGAUUAAAACUACAGCUCGAAGCCCUGAAGGCCUUCUGUCAGAACUACGCAGUAAAGUCCUGCUGUGCACAGAUGAGAAGCUUUGUGCAUGCAGACUGUGUCGGUUCUGCAAACAACGACGACUCGACUGCUUUGAAAGGAAACGAUGAAUGAGAUGCCUGAUCACACUUGGUGGUGGAGAUGCAAAUCAACAGGAGUUGACACUUUAUUUCUCAGUUCGGGCUCUUUUCGAGGGAGUGAAUCAAGACUGGUCUGAGAAGAAGGAAGCACAUGUGCUUCACGGAGCAGAUGAAUUCUUUUGAUAAUUUGAUGGAAUACAUUUUCCGCCGCAAUGUCUGGCUUCCUAUUUUAAUCUUCCGCUUCAUAUGAGUCUUCUGAUGGGCUUCUGAUGGGCUUCCCGUCUUCAUCCCUUGUGAGGAAAAGAGAGGAACGAAUGCGUCACCACUGUGGCGAAGAAGGCAACACUCCAAACUGAAUCUCACCCGUUCCUGCAGGAAUCCAAACAGGAAGGGCCCGGCUCCGGCUGGGCCGCCAAGCAGAGGAAAUGACUGGGAUCAGAGAUCAAAAGAGUGGACUCACAAACAGCGGCUGACGGAAAGUUACUGUGAAAGGACAAUUUUUACUGUUUGAAUACCUUCGUACCUUUCCGAUGUUGGUAAUUAGUUUAUUUUGGCCUCACAGCGCAUGUCCUCGUAUGGCCUCUGAGGCCCCGUGACACCAGACUCUAAGGUGUCCCAAAGCAGCUGUUAGCUAAUGUGCUCCCAGAUGCUGCCAGAACUGAGGUUCCACACAAGUGUUAAAAUCAUUGAGGCAAGGCAAUUUUAUUUGUACAGCACGUUUAAGCAACAAGGCAAUUCAAGCUGAUGUGAUCCACUUUCCUGGUGUUAGUGAGGACUCCAGCUGCAGCGUUCUGCAUCAGCUGUAGCUCCUUUUCACACAGACACGUAAACACACCAUCACAGUAGAGAGUCCACUGAAGAUAAAUGCAUGGAAACGUUUUCACAAACCUCCUCUGCUCCUUGAUGUAUUCUUCAGGUGAUAGGAGGCAGAUUCUGUGACUGUCUUGAUGUGAUUGUACAGGUUGAGGUCCGGAUUCAUCAGUGAUUGAAGCUCAGUGCCGACUUUCAAUCGUUCAUCCUUGUUUCCAAAAACAAUUACUUCUGCUUUUUCUUUGUUUAAUUGAAAACAGUUUUGGC
ensembl:lncRNA